rnacentral:rRNA from 1 species
GACGAACGCUGGCGGCGUGCCUAAUACAUGCAAGUAGAACGCUGAAGAGAGGAGCUUGCUCUUCUUGGAUGAGUUGCGAACGGGUGAGUAACGCGUAGGUAACCUGCCUUGUAGCGGGGGAUAACUAUUGGAAACGAUAGCUAAUACCGCAUAACAAUGGAUGACACAUGUCAUUUAUUUGAAAGGGGCAAUUGCUCCACUACAAGAUGGACCUGCGUUGUAUUAGCUAGUAGGUGAGGUAAUGGCUCACCUAGGCGACGAUACAUAGCCGACCUGAGAGGGUGAUCGGCCACACUGGGACUGAGACACGGCCCAGACUCCUACGGGAGGCAGCAGUAGGGAAUCUUCGGCAAUGGGGGCAACCCUGACCGAGCAACGCCGCGUGAGUGAAGAAGGUUUUCGGAUCGUAAAGCUCUGUUGUAAGUCAAGAACGGGUGUGAGAGUGGAAAGUUCACACUGUGACGGUAGCUUACCAGAAAGGGACGGCUAACUACGUGCCAGCAGCCGCGGUAAUACGUAGGUCCCGAGCGUUGUCCGGAUUUAUUGGGCGUAAAGCGAGCGCAGGCGGUUUGAUAAGUCUGAGGUUAAAGGCUGUGGCUCAACCAUAGUUCGCUUUGGAAACUGUCAAACUUGAGUGCAGAAGGGGAGAGUGGAAUUCCAUGUGUAGCGGUGAAAUGCGUAGAUAUAUGGAGGAACACCGGUGGCGAAAGCGGCUCUCUGGUCUGUAACUGACGCUGAGGCUCGAAAGCGUGGGGAGCGAACAGGAUUAGAUACCCUGGUAGUCCACGCCGUAAACGAUGAGUGCUAGGUGUUGGAUCCUUUCCGGGAUUCAGUGCCGCAGCUAACGCAUUAAGCACUCCGCCUGGGGAGUACGACCGCAAGGUUGAAACUCAAAGGAAUUGACGGGGGCCCGCACAAGCGGUGGAGCAUGUGGUUUAAUUCGAAGCAACGCGAAGAACCUUACCAGGUCUUGACAUCCCGAUGCUAUUUCUAGAGAUAGAAAGUUACUUCGGUACAUCGGUGACAGGUGGUGCAUGGUUGUCGUCAGCUCGUGUCGUGAGAUGUUGGGUUAAGUCCCGCAACGAGCGCAACCCCUAUUGUUAGUUGCCAUCAUUCAGUUGGGCACUCUAGCGAGACUGCCGGUAAUAAACCGGAGGAAGGUGGGGAUGACGUCAAAUCAUCAUGCCCCUUAUGACCUGGGCUACACACGUGCUACAAUGGUUGGUACAACGAGUUGCGAGUCGGUGACGGCGAGCUAAUCUCUUAAAGCCAAUCUCAGUUCGGAUUGUAGGCUGCAACUCGCCUACAUGAAGUCGGAAUCGCUAGUAAUCGCGGAUCAGCACGCCGCGGUGAAUACGUUCCCGGGCCU